AACGCGUAGGUAACCUGCCUGGUAGCGGGGCAUAACUAUUGGAAACGAUAGCUAAUACCGCAUAAGAGUAGAUGUUGCAUGACAUUUGCUUAAAAGGUGCAAUUGCAUCACUACCAGAUGGACCUGCGUUGUAUUAGCUAGUUGGUGGGGUAACGGCUCACCAAGGCGACGAUACAUAGCCGACCUGAGAGGGUGAUCGGCCACACUGGGACUGAGACACGGCCCAGACUCCUACGGGAGGCAGCAGUAGGGAAUCUUCGGCAAUGGACGGAAGUCUGACCGAGCAACGCCGCGUGAGUGAAGAAGGUUUUCGGAUCGUAAAGCUCUGUUGUAAGAGAAGAACGAGUGUGAGAGUGGAAAGUUCACACUGUGACGGUAUCUUACCAGAAAGGGACGGCUAACUACGUGCCAGCAGCCGCGGUAAUACGUAGGUCCCGAGCGUUGUCCGGAUUUAUUGGGCGUAAAGCGAGCGCAGGCGGUUAGAUAAGUCUGAAGUUAAAGGCUGUGGCUUAACCAUAGUACGCUUUGGAAACUGUUUAACUUGAGUGCAAGAGGGGAGAGUGGAAUUCCAUGUGUAGCGGUGAAAUGCGUAGAUAUAUGGAGGAACACCGGUGGCGAAAGCGGCUCUCUGGCUUGUAACUGACGCUGAGGCUCGAAAGCGUGNGGAGCAAACAGGAUUAGAUACCCUGGUAGUCCACGCCGUAAACGAUGAGUGCUAG
rnacentral:rRNA from 1 species